GAGCGAUGAUGAUUGCACGUUUGCUGACACCUCUUAUGUUAGCACUCAUUCAUAAUGGGUGCGGUGAUUAUAAACUGUUCUCUGAGCUC
rnacentral:snoRNA from 1 species